rnacentral:rRNA from 1 species
UGAAUACGAGAUGCUACGGCGUCGAAGCAGUGUAUGUCAGACUUCCAAGAAAAGCUCGCAAUGUCAUAAAUAAAGAAUGCCUGUACCAUAACCGACACAGGUGGGUAGGUAGAGUAUACUAAGGGGCGCGAGAUAACUCUCUCUAAGGAACUCGGCAAAAUAACUCCGUAACUUCGGGAGAAGGAGUGCCUUCUUGAAGAAGGUUGCAAUAACAAGAUCCAAGCAACUGUUUAUCAAAAACACAGGUCUCCGCUAAGUCGAAAGACGAUGUAUGGGGGCUGACGCCUGCCCAGUGCCAGAAGGUUAAAGAAGCUGGUUAGCAAUAGCGAAGCUGGUGACUGAAGCCCUGGUGAACGGCGGCCGUAACAAUAACGGUCCUAAGGUAGCGAAAUUCCUUGUCGGGUAAGUUCCGACCCGCACGAAAGGCGUAAUGAUUUGGAUACUGUCUCGGAGAGGGACUCGGUGAAAUAGACUUGUCUGUGAAGAUGCGGACUACCUGCACCAGGACAGAAAGACCCUAUGAAGCUUUACUGUAACUUGAAAUUGAAAUUGGACUUUAUUUGCGCAGUAUAGGUGGAAGGCGUUGAGAUUACUCUUGCGGGAUUAGUGGAGCCAUCAGUGAGAUACCACUCCUAUAAUGUUAGAUUUCUAACUUUGGAUCAUAAUCUGGUCAAAGAACAGUUUCAGGCGGGCAGUUUGACUGGGGCGGUCGCCUCCCAAAUGGUAACGGAGGCGUACAAAGGUUUCCUCUGAACGGGUAGAAAUCGUAUCUAGAGUGUAAAGGCAUAAGGAAGCUUGACUGUGAGACCUACAAGUCGAGCAGGGACGAAAGUCGGUCUUAGUGAUCUGACGGUGCUGAGUGGAAAGGCCGUCACUCAACGGAUAAAAGUUACUCUAGGAUAACAGGCUGAUCUCCCCCAAGAGUUCACAUCGACGGGGAGGUUUGGCACCUCGAUGUCGGCUCAUCGCAUCCUGGGGCGGUAGUACGUCCCAAGGGUUGGGCUGUUCGCCCAUGAAAGCGGUACGCGAGCUGGGUUCAGAACGUCGUGAGACAGUUCGGUCCAUAUCCGGUGUAGGCGUUAGAAUAUUGAGAGGAGCCUUCUUUAGUACGAGAGGACCGAGAAGGACAUACCUCUGGUGUACCAGUUAUCGUGCCAACGGUAAACGCUGGGUAGCUAUGUAUGGAGAGGAUAACCGCUGAAAGCAUCUAAGUGGGAAGCCCACCUCAAGAUGAGUAUUCUCAC